rnacentral:rRNA from 1 species
AAUGAACGCUGGCGGCGUGCCUAACACAUGCAAGUCGAACGUGAAAGUCCUUCGGGAUGAGUAAAGUGGCGCACGGGUGAGUAACACGUAGGUGACCUGCCUUUUAGAGGGGAAUAACCAGAAGAAAUUUUGGCUAAUGCCGCAUACGAAGUACAAAUCUAAGAGUAGUACUUGAAAGAAUGCCUCUGCAUAUGCAUUCACUAAAAGAAGGGCCUGCGGUACAUUAGCUAGUUGGGGGGGUAAAGGCCUACCAAGGCAACGAUGUAUAUCCGGGCUGGGAGUGUGAUCGGGCACUAUGGAACUGAGACAAGGUCCAGACUCCUGCGGGAGGCAGCAGUGGGGAAUAUUGCGCAAUGGGGGAAACCCUGACGCAGCAACGCCGCUUGAGUGAGGAAGGACUUCGGUCUGUAAAGCUCUGUUAAUGUGGAAAAAUGAUGGAUGGUCUAAUAGGCUUUUCAUUUGAUGGUACACAUAGAGGAAGCACCGGCUAACUUCGUGCCAGCCGCCGCCGUAA